rnacentral:misc_RNA from 1 species
UCCUCCCUCAAGCCCCCGGGUUUGGUGUUGGACCGCGUUGGAUCGUUCGCGACCAACUGGUCUCAAAGACAAUGACGGCGUCCGUGGGACCCUCUUCGCACUGAGCUUUCCGGAGCACGCGUCGAGUUUCAAGGUGUCACGGGCCCGGCCUCUAAAACGAACUUUUUUCA